GGGCCUAUAGCUCAGUCGGUUAGAGCGCACGCCUGAUAAGCGUGAGGUCAGUGGUUCAACUCCACUUAGGCCCA
rnacentral:tRNA from 2 species